GCCGGGGCUGUGGCUGGGGACUGUAGUCCUAGCUACUUGGGAGGCUGAGGCCGGUUGAUCACUUGAGCCUAGAAGUUCUGGUCUGUUGUACACUAUACCAGUUGGGUGUCCACAUUAAGUACAACAUCCAUAUGGUGACCUCCCAGGAUUGGGGGACCACCAGGUUGCACAGGGAGAGGUGAACUGUCCCGGGUCUGAAACAAGCAGGUCAAAAUGCCUGUGCUAAUCAGUAGUGGAUUGUGUCUGUGCCUAGUCCCUGGACUCCAGCCUAGGCAACAUAGUGAGACCUUUGUCUCU
rnacentral:SRP_RNA from 1 species